UCCGGUUGGACAGAUCCAGAUGCCUC
rnacentral:piRNA from 1 species